GUGAACGCUGGCGGUAGGCCUAACCCAUGCAAGUCGAACGGCAGCACAGUAAGAGCUUGCUCUUACGGGUGGCGAGUGGCGGACGGGUGAGGAAUACAUCGGAAUCUACUUUUUCGUGGGGGAUAACGUAGGGAAACUUACGCUAAUACCGCAUACGACCUACGGGUGAAAGCAGGGGAUCUUCGGACCUUGCGCGAUUGCAUGAGCCGAUGUCGGAUUAACUAGUUGGCGGGGUAAAGGCCCACCAAGGCGACGAUCCGUAGCUGGUCUGAGAGGAUGAGCAGCCAAACUGGAACUGAGACACGGUCCAGACUCCUACGGGAGGCAGCAGUGGGGAAUAUUGGACAAUGGGCGCAAGCCUGAUCCAGCCAUACCGCGUGGGUGAAGAAGGCCUUCGGGUUGUAAAGCCCUUUUGUUGGGAAAGAAAAGCAGCAGGUUAAUACCCCGCUGUUCUGACGGUACCCAAAGAAUAAGCACCGGCUAACUUCGUG
rnacentral:rRNA from 1 species